UCUACCAACUGUCUAUGAAGCUGCACUACUCAACCCGGACCAAACAUUAUUUGUGGAUGGGUCAAGAUUUGCUGAUGAACAAGGGCAAUAUCACACUGGGUAUGCAGUUACUACAGAAUGUCAAGUGUUACAAGCAGCUGCCCUGCAACCAAAUAAGUCUGCUCAAGAAGCUGAAUUGACAGCCCUAACUGUGGCUUGCAAAUUGUCUGAAGGGUUGCGUGCCAACAUUUACACGGAUUCAAGAUAUGCCCUGGGAGUAGCACAUGAUUUUGGCUUAAUUUGGAAGACCAGAGGAUUUCUU